AUUGAUUAAGAGUUUUUCUUAGUUAAGUAUUAUGUUGUGUUUGCAUAUUGUUUGGGAAACCAAACGGCGUUAUCUGUUUUUCCGAAUAGAUAACGAUUUAACUUCCUGUAUAUUUUGACCCGAUUUGGGUUAUAAACACCGCACUUCUCUUGCGGUGUUUUUUUA
rnacentral:other from 1 species